GACGAACGCUGGCGGCGUGCUUUAUACAUGCAAGUCGAACGAUGAAGUUCCUUCGGGAAUGGAUUAGUGGCGAACGGGUGAGGAACACGUGAGAAACCUGCCUUUCAUUCUGGGAUAACACCGGGAAACCGGUGCUAAUACCGGAUACUCCGUCUUGGCGGCAUCGCCGAGCCGGGAAAAAAUUUUGAUGAAAGAUGGUCUCGCGGCCUAUCAGCUAGUUGGUGAGGCAAUGGCUCACCAAGGCGACGACGGGUAGCCGGCCUGAGAGGGCGAGCGGCCACACUGGGACUGAGACACGGCCCGGACUCCUACGGGAGGCAGCGGUAGGGAAUAUUGCACAAUGGGCGUAAUCCUGAUGCAGCGACGCCGCGUGAGGGAUGACGGCCUUCGGGUUGUAAACCUCUUUCAGCACCGACGAAGCGCAAGUGACGGUAGGUGCAGAAGAAGGACCGGCCAACUACGUGCCAGCAGCCGCAGUAA
rnacentral:rRNA from 1 species